rnacentral:rRNA from 1 species
GUUAGCUGCAGAAGAAGCACCGGCUAACUCCGUGCCAGCAGCCGCGGUAAUACGGAGGGUGCGAGCGUUAAUCGGAAUUACUGGGCGUAAAGCGCAUGCAGGUGGUUUGUUAAGUCAGAUGUGAAAGCCCGGGGCUCAACCUCGGAAUUGCAUUUGAAACUGGCAGACUAGAGUACUGUAGAGGGGGUAGAAUUUCAGGUGUAGCGGUGAAAUGCGUAGAGAUCUGAAGGAAUACCGGUGGCGAAGGCGGCCCCCUGGACAGAUACUGACACUCAGAUGCGAAAGCGUGGGGAGCAAACAGGAUUAGAUACCCUGGUGG